CGAUGAAUUUUGUAGGACUUGUGGGGAGCCAGGUCACCGGCAGUACGCUUGCCCUAACAGGACGUCAACAUUCAAUGAGCGAGGUGUCAGUGCAAGAUCUGCGGGGAUGGCGGGCAUCCAACAAUUGAUUGUCCUGUCAAGGGCACUACUGGGAAGAAAAUGGAUGAUGAGUACCAGAACUUCUUGAAUGAGCUUGGGGGGAGCGCCCCUGAGUCGGUGACAAAGUCUAGUGGUCCAAUGUUGGCUCUUACAGGGAGCGGCGGGAGUGGUGGCAGCAGCGGCGGCGUUGGUGCUGGUAGUGGUAGUAACCCGCCAUGGGCUGCAGGUGGUGGUGCUGCUGCCUCAGGGGCAAAUGGGAUCAAGAAGGAGUAUGAUGAGACCAAUCUGUACAUUGGGUACUUGCCACCUACCCUGGAUGAUUCAGGGCUGAUAGGCCUGUUUUCACAAUUUGGAGAGAUUGUCAUGGCGAAGGUUAUCAGAGAUCGCAUCACUGGGCAGAGCAAAGGAUACGGUUUUGUGAAGUAUUCGGAUGUAUCCCAGGCUAACGCGGCAAUCGCUGCGAUGAACGGUUACCAUCUUGAAGGGAGAGUGAUUGCUGUUAGAGUUGCAGGAAAGCCGCCACAGCCAGCUGUUCCUCCUGGCCCACCUGCAGUGCCAGCACCACCAACAUAUCCUCCUGCAGAUCCUGCUGCUGGUGGCUACACCUCACAGCCCUACAUGGGAGCACCACCGCCACCACCUCCAGGGAGCUAUGCUCCAGUUCCUUGGGGGCAACCGCCACCAUAUGCUUCAUACCCUCCGCCGCCACCAGGUUCUAGCAUGUACAAUCCUCCACCUCCUGCACCAGGCCAAGCUACACCACCUCCAUAUGGUGUGCAGUAUGCACCACCACCAGCUCCAAUCCCUCCACCAGGCACUGCUCCAUCAACUGAUGGGGCGCAGAACUACCCUCCUGGUGUAACACCACCAAGUUCUGGUGCACCUACUCAGCCUGUCCCAGCUCCAGUAUAUGGAACUUCCGGCGCACCAAAUGCGCCACCUAUGUACCCUCCACCUCCUUAUGGUUAUGCCUCUUAUUAUCCAUCGGUGACACCAGUUCAGCCGCCACCACCUCCACCACCUGCUGGCGCUGAUCCCUCGCAGAGCCUUGCAAAUGCACCGUGGGCAACUCACAGUGCACCACCUCCACCUCCUUCUGGUGCUGAUCCGUCGCAGAGCAUCGCAAAUGCACCCUGGGCAACUCACAGUGCACCACCUCCACCACCAGCUACUGCUGAUCACUCACAGAGCAUUGCAAGUGCACCUUGGGCCACUCACAAUGCACCGCCUCCACCACCACCACCUUCCAGCAUUGAGCAGCCUCCU
rnacentral:lncRNA from 1 species